GUCCACGCUGUAAACGGUGAGUGCUCGUCGUCGUGGGUAUUGACCCCUGCGGUGACCAAGUUAACACAUGAAGCACUCCGCCUGGGAAGUACGGUCGCAAGACUAAAACUCAAAGAAAUUGACGGGGGCCCCGCACAAGCGGUGGAGCAUGUUGUUUAAUUCGAAGCAACGCGCAGAACCUUACCUGGAUUUGACAUCUCCGGAAUCUCCCUGAAAGGGGAGAGUGCCUUCGGGAACCGGAAGACAGGUGCUGCAUGGCUGUCGU
rnacentral:rRNA from 1 species